AGAGUUUGAUCAUGGCUCAGGAUGAACGCUGGCAGUGUGCCUUAGACAUGCAAGUCGGACGGGGGUUUUCUUGUUUGAUCCUUUCGGGGUGAUGACUUGAUUACUCUAGUGGCGUACGGGUGAGUAACACGUGGGUGACCUGCCCUCAAGUGGGGGAUAACUCUGGGAAACUGGGGCUAAUCCCGCAUGUGCUGGCCUUCUUUUGGGGGGUUAGUAAAGGAACUUUGUUUCGCUUGGGGAUGGGCCCGCGGUCUAUCAGCUUGUUGGUGUGGUAAUGGCGCACCAAGGUUAUGAUAGGUAGCCGGCCUGAGAGGGUGUUCGGCCACAGGGGCACUGAGAUACGGGCCCCACUCCUACGGGAGGCAGCAGUUAGGAAUUUUCGACAAUGGGGGGAACCCUGAUCGAGCGACAUUGUGUGAGGGAUGAAGGCCUUAGGGUUGUAAACUUCCAAUAGAGGGACGAUGGUGACGGUACCUCUUGAUUAGCACCGGCUAACUCCGUGCCAGCAGCCGCGGUAAUACGGAGGGUGCGAGCGUUAUUUGGAAUCACUGGGCGUAAAGGGCACGUAGGUGGUUUGUUAAGUUUGAUGUUAAAGACUGGGGCUCAACCCCGGCAUGGCGUUGGAUACUGGCAGGCUUGACGGUUGGAGAGGUGAGUGGAAUUGUUAGUGUAGUGGUGGAAUGCGUAGAUACUGGUAGGAACACCUAUUGCGAAGGCAGCUCGCUGGACAAUUCGUGACGCUGAGGUGCGAAAGUGUGGGGAGCAAACCGGAUUAGAUACCCGGGUAGUCCACACCCUAAACGAUGCAUACUUGGUGUCGGCCCGUUGGGGUCGGUGCCGGAGCUAACGUGUUAAGUAUGCCGCCUGGGAAGUACGGCCGUAAGGUUGAAACUCAAAGGAAUUGACGGGGACCUGCAUAAGUGGUGGAGCAUGUGGUUUAAUUCGAAGCAACGCGAAGAACCUUACCAGGUCUUGACAUCCCGAGAAUUUCUUGGAAACUUGGGGGUGUUUUUUCGGGGGAAUUCGGUGACAGGUGCUGUAUGGCUGUCGUCAGCUCGUGUCGUGAGAUGUUCGGUUAAGUCCGGCAACGAGCGCAAUCCUCGCUAUUAGUUGCCAGUAUUUUGGGUGGGCACUUUAGUGGGACUGCCUGUGAAAGCAGGAGGAAGGCGGGGAUGAUGUCUAGUCAGCAUGGUCCUUACGAUCUGGGCUACACACGUGUUACAAUGGUUGGUAUAAUGUGUUGCUACCUCGCGAGGGGAUGCUAAUCACUUAAAGCUGGUCUCAGUUCGGAUUGUAGUCUGCAACUCGACUGCAUGAAGUUGGAAUCGCUAGUAAUCGCGGAUCAGCAUUGCCGCGGUGAAUACGUUCCCAGGUCUUGUACACACCGCCCGUCAAAUCAUGGGAGUAGGUUGCAUUCGAAGGCGCGUGGCUUCGUUAAUGAGGCGCGUGUUUAAGGUGUGGCUUAUGACUGGGAUUAAGUCGUAACAAGGUAACCGUA
rnacentral:rRNA from 1 species